rnacentral:rRNA from 1 species
AGUGAACGCUGGCGGUAGGCCUAACACAUGCAAGUCGAACGGCAGCACAGUAAGAGCUUGCUCGUACGGGUGGCGAGUGGCGGACGGGUGAGGAAUACAUCGGAAUCUACUUUUUCGUGGGGGAUAACGUAGGGAAACUUACGCUAAUACCGCAUACGACCUACGGGUGAAAGCAGGGGAUCUUCGGACCUUGCGCGAUUGAAUGAGCCGAUGUCGGAUUAGCUAGUUGGCGGGGUAAAGGCCCACCAAGGCGACGAUCCGUAGCUGGUCUGAGAGGAUGGUCAGCCACACUGGAACUGAGACACGGUCCAGACUCCUACGGGAGGCAGCAGUGGGGAAUAUUGGACACUGGGCGCAAGCCUGAUCCAGCCAUACCGCGUGGGUGAAGAAGGCCUUCGGGUUGUAAAGCCCUUUUGUUGGGAAAGAAAAGCAGCAGGUUAAUACCCCGCUGUUCUGACGGUACCCAAAGAAUAAGCACCGGCUAACUUCGUG